AAGGCGGGACAGAUGAUUAGGGUGAAGUCGUAACAAGGUAGCCGUAGGAGAACCUGCGGCUGGAUCACCUCCUUUCUA
rnacentral:rRNA from 1 species